AAUCCAACAGGACCCACUCGAGCCAUCCACACUUGCCCCAGCCUCCUCCAAAACAGCACACUUUCCGAGAGACCGAGGGGCUCACUAGGUUGACCAGGCUGGUCUUGAACUCCUGGCCUCAAGCCAUCCUCCCACCUCAGCCUCCCAAAGUGCUGGGAUUACAUGCAUGAGCCACCACAUCCAGCCUACCUAAAAUAUUGAAUGCUGUUAAUAAAUCUCCUGAGGCCAGCAUAAGAAGGUGAUGGGCAAAACUAAUGCAGGGUUUCAGUUGUGCAAUUUCACCAUUAGCAAAGCUUUUUGCUGAAAUCUGGCUUUUCAAAGGGAGAGUAUCCAGAAACAGAAGAUGCUGCUCUGAGAGGCUCUUCCUAAUAGAACUGCUGCUUCAGUUUAGCUUGAAAAAGCCCACACCCAGUUCCUAAUGACAAACAUCUGAACACCGGGUCUUCCCACGAGCAAGACCAUGCUAUGCCUCCUGCUCGCUCUGUUCUAUAAGCAACCCACAGAUUGCUCCCUGUGAAGAGGAGCCUGCCAGGGGAGCAGCAUUCCACCAGACCCUGAUUUAGCAAG
rnacentral:lncRNA from 10 species